AUCCUCGCACUCUAUGCUGAAUUUCCCUGACUUGAAACCAGAUAAUAGCAGCUCUAAAAUGGGCAGCCUUUUUAAGUGAUCUUGUGCUGAAAUCUUUCUCUACAGAAAUCCAGUUUACUUGUCACUAAAGAUUUGUACUCAAAUUAAUGAAACUAUAGAUGCAAUUCUAUCAAGGCUUCCAUAGUGCAGCGGUAAUCCUCGCACUCUAUGCAGAAGUGCAUGACAUGAAACCAGAUAAUAGCAGCAUGCUAAAAUGGACAAGGCCCUGUCCCUCAGUAGUAAGAGCCAAUAAUCUCCAAGGAUGAGGAUUCUGCAC